rnacentral:rRNA from 1 species
AGGUUUGAUCAUGGCUCAGAGUGAACGCUGGCGGCAGGCCUAAUACAUGCAAGUCGAACGGCAGCACAGCAGAGCUUGGCUCUGUGGGUGGCGAGUGGCGGACGGGUGAGGAAUACGUGGGAAUCUGCCCAGUCGUGGGGGAUAACGUAGGGAAACUUACGCUAAUACCGCAUGCGCCCUUCGGGGGAAAGCCGGGGACCUUCGGGCCUGGCGCGAUUGGAUGAGCCCACGUCGGAUUAGCUAGUUGGCGGGGUAAAGGCCCACCAAGGCGACGAUCCGUAGCUGGUCUGAGAGGAUGAUCAGCCACACUGGAACUGAGACACGGUCCAGACUCCUACGGGAGGCAGCAGUAGGGAAUAUUGGACAAUGGGCGCAAGCCUGAUCCAGCCAUGCCGCGUGAGUGAAGAAGGCCCUCGGGUUGUAAAGCUCUUUUGUCCGGAAAGAAAAGCGCCGGGUUAAUACCCUGGUGUCCUGACGGUACCGGAAGAAUAAGCACCGGCUAACUUCGUG